UACAGAGGGUGCAAGCGUUGUCCGGAAUGAUUGGGCGUAAAGCGUUCGUAGGCGGUCCUUAAAGUCUACUGUUAAAUCCCAGGGCUCAACCUUGGACAGGCAGUGGAGAACUCAAGGGCUAGAGGGCGGUAGGGGUAGAGGGAAUUCCCAGUGUAGCGGUGAAAUGCACAGAGAUUGGGAAGAACACCGGUGGCGAAAGCGCUCUACUGGGCCGCAUCUGACGCUGAGGGACGACAGCUGGGGGAGCGAAUAGG
rnacentral:rRNA from 1 species